UACGUAGGGCGCAAGCGUUGUCCGGAAUUAUUGGGCGUAAAGAGCUCGUAGGCGGCCAGUUGCGUCUGCUGUGAAAUCCCGGGGCUCAACCCCGGGCGUGCAGUGGAUACGGGCUGGCUAGAGGCAGGCAGGGGAGAACGGAAUUCCCGGUGUAGCGGUGAAAUGCGCAGAUAUCGGGAGGAACACCGGUGGCGAAGGCGGUUCUCUGGGCCUGUUCUGACGCUGAGGAGCGAAAGCGUGGGGAGCGAACAGGAUUGAGAA
rnacentral:rRNA from 1 species